GAUCUGACGAGGUCGUCUUUACCAGGGUAGAGGUCAGUCACAACGCCCAUUUUCCAAUUGUUGAGUUUAAAAUGAGUCCUAAAUGAGAACUACGUCUACUCGGACACUGUAUAGUUUGGUAAUUUCGUCUUCUUGCAAUGAUGUUCUCGCAAUCCUGUAAGGUACUCAAUUUGCCAUCGCUUCCAGUAAGUCUGCAUUUAUGUAUUCUUUGAUGCCUGUAAUGAUGGAUUGGCAAGUUUGAGGUGUUGAAACUCGACGUGUAGUAUGAGGUUGUUUGUGGUUCAUAGCGGUGGACAUAUUAUUCUGGUUACAAGGUUUGUAAUAAUGUUGAUAAUUUCAUGUUUUCUUGUGAACAGGUUAAACAUUACAACAUUGAACAUUGUGCUUUUACUAUCGUCGUUUCCGAGUGUUGAUACGUUAAGCAUUUCUUUGUGUACUGUUCCCUGGAGUUGUCAGAUUCAAGCCUUUCUCUCGCAUUUCUAUUUCUUGGUCUAGUGCCGUUCGUAGAUCGUUAAGACAGCUAUCUGCUAAGGGGUUAUUUCUAAAAAAUUAAGGGAAAUACAAAAUAGCGGAAAUGAAGUUUUUGAAUUUCCCGUCAGUAAUCCAGCCAUUGUCCAGUUUUUGUCAAGAGAACAAUUUACUAUAGGACGAUUCCAUGUAACGGACAUUACACUGUUUACCCAUAAUCCAAGAAGAGGUUUAUUUUAUUUAAAAUUGAUCAUUCAUAUGCAGCGUGUAGUAGAGCAACCACUUUCAGACCGCUACCCAGUAUCCCCAAUGGAAAGGCAGUGGUACAGGUGGAUUUCACUGAAUAGGGGGGUCUGAAAGUGGUUGCUCUGUUCCCUCUUUAUGAAAACAUGUCUGAGGAACUCAGGCAACUUCUCCCUAUGGCUUUCAAGCGCAGCAAGCACUGUUCCUGAUCUGGCGCAUUUCAUUAGCUUCUUCUUUGGUGCACUUGUGGUCCCGUCAUCAUUUCCUUUCCUUCUCUUGUGGUUAGGCUCAUUCGUAGUCUUCUCCCGUGACCACUCACACCAAAAGACCUCUGUGUUCAGAGCAGGCCCUUGAAAACUUGCAAACCAUUCGGAGAUCUUCUCUGAUCACUCUUCUUCUGAUUCUGAAAAAUGUAUGACAAAAUGUUGUGAAGUGUGAUACAAACCUGCUUGUGUAUGCAGGAAAAUCAAGGACGGCCUUGUGCAGUGCAUCGCAAUGGAGGAUAAUUUUGUCAUGAUACAUGCAAAGGAAAGCUGGCUUUAGCUCUGCAAACUUGGACUUCCCAAUUUUCUCAUCUGGAUAUUCAAGCUUGAAAAGGGAGUGUGUUUCUUUCACUGUAUUGUACAGGUGCCUUUUCUGUAGCUGGAUUUUCUCUUCUUUUUGCCAGACUGUUAUUUAGUCUUUCUUCCCAGGUGCUUGCCUUGGAAUGUCAUCACGGCGAUAGAACUGUUCACUUUUUUCACAGUAUCGUCGCUUGUCACGUUUUUUGGCUGGACACUUGAUUUGAUAAGCCCUUCCCUUUUUGCAAGUUUCUCAACAACCACUUCCUACUUUCUUUGGCUAAAAGACAAGGACUUUGCAGCCCUUGAAACAGCUUUCCCAAGCGACCUUGAUUUAUAAACUGGAUGUUUUCCAUCAUCAUCUUCUGGUGCAGUCUUCUUGUUAGCCCUGAACUUCGCCACUCUUUCUCUGUUCAGCCUACUUCUAUGGGCUUUGAUUUCAGCACUGACUCCUUGAUUUUUCUCUCUUAGUCUUGCAGCCUGUUUUCUUUUCUUUUUUUAAAGGUUAGAACAGAAUUAUUGAAUUGAUUAUGCAGUCACUACAUUUACAGUCAGUGAGAUAAGCCACUCAAGACUAUGUAACCACCCCUAGUCAGUGUAACCACCCUAACAACCUUUACACAGGAAGCCCAAAAGGAAGCAUCUCUUCUGUAAUGUCCCUUACGGAAAAAAUGUGAAAAAAAAAGAAAAUAAUGUAGGAAGAAAAUAUAUGUCAAAGCUUUAGAUUUAAAAUUAGGAGAGGAUCUGAAUAUCCAGUAAAGACAUCUUUAAUAAGACAUUACAUAACGGACGUAACGGACAUUACUUCCUACACCUGGCAUUUUCAUAUAGAAUUGAAAAAUCUGUCUUAAACAAAACCAUGAUAGCAAACAUAUAAGGCUUCUUUUAAUGUUUGAAUAUAUAUCUGAGAACUUUUUGACAGGAUUUGGUAGAAUAGUUUAAUAAAUAUAAUCAGUUAAACACAGGUGAAAUUUGGAACUUGUUAACUUAACAUUGAGUACCAAUAAGAAUUUGGCAAAAAAAUAUAUACAUUUUUAGAAAACCAAACAAUAUAUACAUUUUUAUAAACUUCAAAGUUUAAAUUGUCAUUUUUGUUAAAUUAAAGCUUGAUAAAUAUAAGUUAAAAAAUUCACGGAAAGUGCAUUUAAAUAUGGAAUUACCCUAUACCUUAACAAAAAGCUAUAAAAAUUAGAAUUCAAUGGCAUGGAGUAUUAAACUAAGCUCUAAUGUGAAAUUCCGGAAAGCAGUCUCCCACGCACAAGUGAACAUCGCACUUUCGGCACGCAUUGCACGUUUCCUUUGCACGUUUAACUGCCUUAUUUCCUGCCUUUAGACGCUUGUUCUUAUUUAGGCAGUUCUUACAGGAUUUCGCCUUGUUUGCCAAUUUCUCAGAAAAGUACUCCACAUCCGCGAUAACUGGCAGAACACGCAUACGUCCGGCUCGCUGUCUUCCCUCGUAACUUCCAAUGAGGCUCUUCAUGAGUUUUUAAGCUUUGCUUCAGCACUCUGGCCAUGGAGCUGCUAUGCGUUGAUAAUUGAGAGAGCCCAUGUAAAAAUAAAAUAAAUAUUUCCACCAUUUCACAUGUCGCCUCAAGGAUACCGUGUAAUAUGAGCGAUGCUGAUCGCUGAGGUCAACGCCGCCCAUGUGUUUGCAGUAUAGAGAGAUACUUGGCGACCUGUUGAUCUCCACUUAGGUGAAUUGUCCGUUGACUUUUCUCCUCCGGGUCACUGUGUCACCCCCUCGGCGUCGCACAUUGUUGGCAACACAGUCACUGGUUUGUUUGCCGCUUUAUCUCACCAUAAAACAACUACUGUGUUGUCUUUCUGUGCGAAGGCCGAGUGGCCUUGAUUAGCAAGCUUUACUUUUAUCAAGCACAGGGGGAAAUCACGGCGGUUCUUUCUCAGUGUUCCACAGGCGAAAAUUUGGCUCUUUGCAGCUCUCAAAAGAGUCCAACACUAGAGAAAUAAUUGUCCAUAAAGACAAAAUACCUGCAGUUCUUGAUCGGCGACACGGGCUAAAUAAUGAUGUUGUUUACACUGCCGCUGUCACGUUGGUUGGGAUUUUUGCCGGUGUAGAUGCCGGUGUAGACGUUAUCAAGAUUAAUGUGGUCUCGAAUAAACCCUCACAACAUUGAAUUAUGUGGCGUAGCUCCCAUCCUGAUCAACGGCAUGUCGUUUGCACACCAAACAGACAGCCAGAGCCAUAUACAGUCACUUGCGAUGGAACCCAACACAAAUGUCAGAUUCCAAGGAAUUAUCCAGAUAUACCACUGAACACAGGGAAGACGUGUGGACAAUAUUCCAGGAUUUACGGAACGUGAAAGAAAUCCAUGACGCCAUAUUUGCAAACUACAACAGGCCCCCUAGGGAGAAGGCGGUACGAGAUUAGAUGUGUGGAUGUCAGGAAUCCCGAGUUCGAUGCAGUGGCAGUCAAGUCUCAGGGUUGGAUGCAGGAUUUCUAAGAAGUUUCGGGGACCGUUCCUAACAGUUUGUAUCUGAAGUGGACCCCGCAGGAUCACCGAAUGAGUCUUUCCUUAGAACGAGGAGGGAAAUACAGUUAAUUAGCUGUAUAAAAAAUAUUGACAUGGGUGGAGUUGUAUAUUUUUAAAAUGGAGGGACCAGCCUUAGGAAGUAAAGUAGCAGCUGACCUAGUGUUAUAUGAACGCUUUGAGUGAGGGCUUAUUUAUUAAAAUAUGUACAAGAUCCAGAA